rnacentral:misc_RNA from 1 species
GAUGAAGAACGCAGCGAAAUGCGAUAACUAGUGUGAAUUGCAGAAUUCCGUGAAUCAUCGAGUCUUUGAACGCACAUUACGCCCCCUGGUAUUCCGGGGGGCAUGCCUGUCCGAGCGUCAUUGCUGCCCAUCAAGCACGGCUUGUGUGUUGGGUCGUCGUCCCCCCCUCCGGGGGGGGACGGGCCCUAAAGGCAGCGGCGGCACCGCGUCCGAUCCUCGAGCGUAUGGGGCUUUGUCACCCGCUCUGUAGGCCCGGCCGGCGCUUGCCGAACGCAAAACAACCAUUCUUUCCAGGUUGACCUCGGAUCAGGUAGGGAUACCCGCUGAACUUAAGCAUAUCAAUAAGCGAGGA